rnacentral:rRNA from 1 species
AGCGAACGCUGGCGGCAGGCUUAACACAUGCAAGUCGAGCGGGCGUAGCAAUACGUCAGCGGCAGACGGGUGAGUAACACGUGGGAACGUACCUUUUGGUUCGGAACAACUGAGGGAAACUUCAGCUAAUACCGGAUAAGCCCUAACGGGGAAAGAUUUAUCGCCGAAAGAUCGGCCCGCGCCUGAUUAGCUAGUUGGCGAGGUAAUGGCUCACCAAGGCGACGAUCAGUAGCUGGUCUGAGAGGAUGAUCAGCCACACUGGGACUGAGACACGGCCCAGACUCCUACGGGAGGCAGCAGUGGGGAAUAUUGGACAAUGGGGGCAACCCUGAUCCAGCCAUGCCGCGUGAGUGAUGAAGGCCCUAGGGUUGUAAAGCUCUUUUGUGCGGGAAGAUAAUGACGGUACCGCAAGAAUAAGCCCCGGCUAACUUCGUGCCAGCCGCCGCCGUAA